rnacentral:rRNA from 1 species
UACGUAGGGGGCAAGCGUUGUCCGGAAUCAUUGGGCGUAAAGCGCGUGUAGGCGGCUCGAUAAGUCUGCUGUGAAAGUUCAGGGCUCAACCCUGAAAUGCCGGUGGAAACUGUCGAGCUAGAGUCCGGAAGAGGUGAGUGGAAUUCCUGGUGUAGCGGUGAAAUGCGCAGAUAUCAGGAGGAACACCAAUGGCGAAGGCAGCUCGCUGGGACGGUACUGACGCUGAGACGCGAAAGCGUGGGGAGCAAACAGG